rnacentral:ribozyme from 1 species
AAAAGAACAACAACAAAAACAAAAACUUAAAAACCUUUUGGCAGUUCUUUUGGUUUUUCUACUUCCGCCUUUCUUUUCUUUUAUUCUUG